ACAAUCGCGCCGCUUCAAGGUGACCCGCCGGCUCCGGCCUGCAGGUUGAAACGGGAAGCCGGUGCGUCUUGCGACAAGGCCGGCGCUGCCCCCGCAACGGUAAGCGAUCCGCGCUAACGACUUGCGCCACUGUGCCUUGGGCAUGGGAAGGCGUCGCAGCCGGGAGUCCGACUCCCAGAUCGCCAGCCCGGAGACCGGCCUUGCAGUCCACUGGUUG
rnacentral:ncRNA from 2 species